UGAUGAUGCUCAUGAUGAUGCUCAUGAUGAUGAUGAUGAUGAUCAUCAUCAUCAUCGUCAUUGUCCUCGUUUUCGUCAUCAUCAUCAUCAUCAUCAUCAUCAUCAGCA
rnacentral:pre_miRNA from 1 species